AAAUCCGCGGUCACAAUGUAAUUAAUGUUAAUAAUUAUAGGUCAAAGUACGGUCUUCAAGACGGAGCAUUGGCUCACGUCGAACAGCAAUCAUAGUCCUUGUUUUUGCAUAAAAAUUUCAUACAGGUUGUUUUCUUAAAGUAAGGAAAUCGAAGGAAAACGGGUCAUUUUUAGGCAUUUUACUGAGAGAAAAAAAAUCACUUCGGGGC
rnacentral:lncRNA from 1 species